GGUACGGCGGUUAAGACAUAACGAGUUACAGCUUACGUUAAGAAGUUCAUGGGAGCUUUUGCGAUGGUUUCAAAUUCAAGGGUUAAAUUGCAAUUGACCCCGAAUUAGAUAAAGUGCCCCGUCUCCAGCAGAGAGAGCAGAGCAACAGGAGAAACAAUUGCGAACCGGCAGACGUCGAAACAAAGUUCGAAAAACUAUCAAAAAUGGUGUGCCUAGCGUGUUUGUUGCCCCUAUUCCUGGUCCCAAUCGUCAACUUGUUGCCCCUCCUCUUCGAUUUCAUCAUGGGGAAAAUAUAUAGGUUAUUCGGUUGGGAAUAUCGGAAGCCGGAAAGGGCACCUCCAGCUUGUCCUUACAAGCCUUCUGCCACCAAACCAAACAGCAAUUCGGUUGCCAAAGCAGACUCUGUUGCUCCAGAUAAUAUACAGAAACCAGCUCUGAUAGAUGAUAGCAAGAAAGAUUGAAGUUGGAUUUUUAAUGUGUAGUGCCCGAAAUUAACAGGUGUGUAAGCCUCUGAGAAGAAAGGUUUCAUAUCUCUUGAUGGAGAAUUGUAUCAGAUCUCUUUGGUGAAUAAAGGUUGCUGAGACUAGCAAAUGCUAUCUGUGUCAUUAAGGAUGAUUUUGGUUUUCUAGAUCGACAUUUAGUUGUUUGAAGAUAGUAUUUUCCUAUAACAAACUAUAUGUAUACACAGGCACUUCGAGAAAGGACUUGAGAUGUGGAAACUAUUCCUGUCUGCAGCAAACCAGGAAAAGUUUCUCUUUCCUAUUGAGCUGACGGCAGUGUGUGUUUGUGUAUGCCGCAUGAUAAUGUGGUCCGACUUGGGCCAGUAGAAUUUGUUUCCACCAGGAGCCACACAAAUUUGGCCUCA